ACGAGUUACGUUUUGCCGACAAAUUUUUCAUUACUUAAGGGACACAAUGAUUUAACGUUUACUUGUUGUAUUCAUUCGGAUUCCCCGUACUGUUAGCCGACGCGACUCACCAAGUCACCAAUCUCUACAUAAGUUCAUUACAGGCAACACGGCUAAGUGGGCCCAGUGACGCCGAUAUGAUGCAUGCAGAACCUCCGGCAAAGCACGAAUCAAGACAAUGGACCGCUUAUUCAAGCAUUCAGUGUGACCCAAUUCAUUACAGACAACACGGCUAAGUGGGCCCAGUGACGCCGAUAUGAUGUCUGCGGAACCUCCGACAAAACACGAAUCAACACAAUCGACCCCUUAUUCAAGCAUUCCGUGUGACCCAAGUAUUGACCCUUAUCUAAACGUUAAAGCGUUUGUCGCACGAAAUGCCUCUUCUUUGAUUUAUCGUCCUAGUAAUGAUGAUAGAUGUGCUGUCUUUUGUGAAUUACUUCAGACUUUCAUCUUAGUCCCAUAGCUCAGCUCACUCCAACUGAAUUUGUAAUCAGUAAGGACAAAGUACGGAAAUGAUAGCCACUACAUGUUCCUAACUUGUGACAUGAAUGGUUAGUAUACCUCCAAGAUGUACAUGAUAUAUUACAUUGUCUCAGUGAAAACGUCACGCAGCUGACCUUAGGUCACACAUGGGCUGGAUAAUUGGCGCCUCGCUCCCGGCGUCCCUUACAGAGAUCUGUUGUUUAUAUCAGAUGUGGAAGGUUCCUUUGCGAUUUUAGUGAAGAACCGAUUUUAUCCUAUGUGGAUAUGAUACCUUACAGAGUGAUGCCAUGCAGUUUUCUAGAGAUCUGUGAUUGGAGAAUAGUUCAAGUUACAGACACGAUCAUUACAACCCGAGAAAAACUCUAUAUUUGGAUUUAUUAGACUCAAACUUGGUUAUAUGCGACAUGUUUUGACAGGGGUCAACAUGUGUUAAGAAGUUUAUACAACCCUGGUUAGAAGUAUCCUUUUCACGUAAGCUGUCUAAUCAUAAGAAGGAAUAUAGCGUCCGGCCUUUGAGUGAUAUAUAUAUUUCAUGCUGGUUCUGAAAUUUUUUGAUAUAAAUUCACUUUGACUGCUUGCGGUAUGUUACCACUCUCAUAACUGUAGACUUGUGUUCUACUCUUAUUCUUAUGAAAAUUCAUAUGACUCGGACAUAUCCCAAUAUGUUUCUUUUCCUUCGAGACAAGUUGCAGGACAUGAUAACAAAUUUGAAGGAAACAACAACAACAACAUCAUUUGCGUCUUAAAUAUCCAAAGACUCAUUUACAUUUGGCACAGAAUAGCUUUCAACCCGACAGCUGUAGUGUCUCUUAAAACAUGUUAUCUUUCCAAUGACAGUUUUUAAAAUACAAAGGCCGAACUAGUCAAGCCUUUAUUUCAUUUUGUUACAUUUCUUUGUAUUUAUAUCUUUUGUACUGUAAACUAAGGUAUAUUUUACUCCUAGCUGUUACUAUAAGUACCAUUCCAUCCCUAGUUACUUACUUGUGCAUUUAGUUUCUAACGGGGAAGGACACGCAUAAGUUUGCAAUCAUAUGUUUUGUCUCUUCUUUCAUUGCGAUUUUGAUCUUGAAUUUUAACAAAUAAAAAAACCUAUCUUUCCAUUGUUUCAUCCUAAUGUAUAUUUAAGAGGAAAUUUGGCAAUUACUCAUGCUAUGUGGACACUUAAAAACAGGAAGGCCUUGAAAUAGCAAGAAUUAUACUUGAAUAACCUCAUACCUGUCUAUACUUGUCAUUUCUAUAUCUUCAUCUGCACACAGUCAUGCUGAUUAUUUGUAGUGUACCUGCAAAACUUAAGUAUGCAGCUGAUAAUGUUUUAGAUAUUCAGAUCCGUUCAAACGAAAACUAACAAUAUGAUUACACUUGCAUUGCUACCAAUAA